rnacentral:rRNA from 1 species
UACGUAGGGUGCGAGCGUUAAUCGGAAUUACUGGGCGUAAAGUGUGCGCAGGCGGCCGCGCAAGUCGAGUGUGAAAUCCCCGAGCUUAACUUGGGAAUUGCGCUCGAAACUACGUGGCUGGAGUGUGGCAGAGGGGGGUAGAAUUCCACGUGUAGCAGUGAAAUGCGUAGAGGUGUGGAGGAACACCGAUGGCGAAGGCAGCCCCCUGGGUCAAGAUUGACGCUCAUGCACGAAAGCGUGGGGAGCAAACAGG